CCUACGGGUGACAGCAGUGGGGAAUAUUGCACAAUGGGGGAAACCCUGAUGCAGCAACGCCGCGUGGGGGAUGAAGGAUUUCGGAUUGUAAACUUCUAUUGGCAGGGAAGAUAAUGACGGUAUCUAACGAAAAAGCACCGGCUAACUCCGUGCCCGCAGCCGCGGUAAUACGGAGGGGGCAAGCGUUACUCGGAAUUACUGGGGGUAAAGGGGGCGUAGGCGGGAUAGCAAGUCAGAUGUGAAAUCCUAGGGCUUAACCCUAGAACUGCAUUUGAAACUGUUGAUCUAGAGUAUGGGAGAGGUAGGUGGAAUUCUUGGUGUAGGGGUGAAAUCCGUAGAGAUUAGGAGGAAUACUAGUGGCGAAGGCGACCUGCUGGACCAUAACUGACGUUGAGGCGCGAAAGCGUGGGGAGCAAACAGGAUUAGAUACCCUAGUAGUC
rnacentral:rRNA from 1 species